rnacentral:tRNA from 1 species
GUCAGGAUGGCCGAGCGGUCUAAGGCGCUGCGUUCAGGUCGCAGUCUCCCCUGGAGGCGGUGGGUUCGAAAUCCCACUUCUGGACA